rnacentral:piRNA from 1 species
UCACAAUGCCCGUGACCAGUGGUUGCAGGAUG